rnacentral:rRNA from 1 species
UACAGAGGUCCCAAGCGUUACUGAGAAUCACUGGGUUUAAAGGGUGCGUAGGUGGUCCGUUAAGUCAGUUGUGAAAGCCCUGGGCUCAACCCAGGAACUGCUUCGGAUACUGGCGCGCUUGAGGCUAGUAGGGGUCACUGGAACUGACGGUGGAGCGGUGAAAUGCGUAGAUAUCGUCAAGAACACCGAUAGUGUAGACAGCUUACUAGGCUGAAACUGACGCUGAGGCACGAAAGUGUGGGGAUCAAACAGG